GACAGAGGCCUCGAGCGUUAGGCGGAAUCACUGGGCUUAAAGCGUGUGUAGGCGGAAGGGUAAGUACCUUGUGAAAUCCCACGGCUCAACCGUGGAACGGCUUGGUAUACUGCUUUUCUUGAGCAAUCUAGGGGCGAGUGGAACAGAUGGUGGAGCGGUGAAAUGCGUAGAUAUCAUCUGGAACGCCUGUGGUGAAGACGACUCGCUGGGGAUUUGCUGACGCUGAGACACGAAAGCCAGGGGAGCGAACGGG
rnacentral:rRNA from 1 species